rfam:Lachnospiraceae bacterium 28-4 genomic scaffold acPFn-supercont1.2, whole genome shotgun sequence.
UUGUGAAGGAAAAUGAGAUUUUCUUAAUGUUCCGUUCAACAAACAGCAAUUUGGUGACAUGGAUGUCACCAAAAGCCCGCAAUGAGCCUGGAUGGCGAAUCGCGGGCGGUUGCGUCCGGUGGACGCUGUCUUGCCGGAAUAUUUAGAAAAUCCAUUUUCCGAAACUC